rnacentral:lncRNA from 1 species
UAAGGUUUGGGUGUGAUUUAACCAUGGUUAGGUGAAGAGGAGGAGUGUGCGUGUUAGAUUUUGCGGUGAAAAGCGUAAUAAAUGUUAGCUACUGACUGACUACUGAGUUAAAGUGUGUUGUGUCUUAAACCUAAAGUCAUAAGUCAAAUAUUUUUUUUUUUUUUAAAUAGAGAGAAUAAAGUCUCAUAGUAGUAAUUGGUGGUAAUGGUUCUUUUAUUUUUAUUUUUUCCUCUCGUGCGUUCAAACAUUUACUGUUGAACAGACGGACACAUUCAUACAAAACACAAGUAAUUAAGACCACAAUAUACGUUCAGCCUUGUGGUGG